rnacentral:rRNA from 1 species
CCCUUAGAUGUUCUGGGCCGCACGCGCGCUACACUGAUGCAUUCAACGAGCCUAUCCUUGACCGACAGGUCCGGGUAAUCUUUGAAUCUGCAUCGUGACGGGGAUAGAUUAUUGCAAUUAUUAAUCUUGAACGAGGAAUUCCUAGUAAUCGCAGUUCAUCAAACUGCAAUGAUUACGUCCCUGCCCUUUGUACACACCGCCCGUCGCACCUACCGAUUGAAUGGUCCGGUGAGGACUCGGGAUUGUGGUUUAGCUCCUUCAUUGGGGCCUGACUGCGAGAACUUGUCCGAACCUUAUCAUUUAGAGGAAGGUGAAGUCGUAACA